rnacentral:rRNA from 1 species
UCCUACGGGGGGCAGCAGUGAGGAAUAUUGGUCAAUGGUCGGGAGACUGAACCAGCCAAGCCGCGUGAGGGAUGAAGGUACAGAGUAUCGUAAACCUCUUUUGUCAGGGAACAAAGGCGGGGACGUGUCCCCGGAUGAGUGUACCUGAAGAAAAAGCAUCGGCUAACUCCGUGCCAGCAGCCGCGGUAAUACGGAGGAUGCGAGCGUUAUCCGGAUUUAUUGGGUUUAAAGGGGGCGCAGGCGGUCUGUUAAGUCAGCGGUCAAAGCCCGGGGCUCAACCCCGGCCCGCCGUUGAAACAGGCAGG